GGGUGCUUGGCGCAAUGGUUAGCGUGUUUGGCUUCGAUGCCUAGGAUUCCGUACCAAAAGGUUGCAGGUUCGAGUCCUGCAGCGCUCA